GGACUACACGGGUAUCUAAUCCCGUUUGCUCCCCUGGCUUUCGUGCCUCAGCGUCAGGAAAUGUCCAGAGACUCGCCUUCGCCACUGGUGUUCCGCUCGAUAUCUACGCAUUUCACUGCUACACCGAGCAUUCCAGUCUCCCCUCCAUUCCUCAAGCCGAAUAGUAUCCAAUGCCAUUUCGGAGUUAAGCUCCGAGCUUUCACAUCAGACUUACCCGACCGCCUACGCACCCUUUACGCCCAGUGAAUCCGAACAACGCUUGGGACCUCUGUAUUACCGCGGCUGCUGGCAC
rnacentral:rRNA from 1 species